rnacentral:rRNA from 1 species
GAUGAACGCUGGCGGCGUGCUUAACACAUGCAAGUCGAACGGUGAAGCAGGAGCUUGCUCCUGUGGAUCAGUGGCGAACGGGUGAGUAACACGUGAGCAAUCUGCCCUGGACUCUGGGAUAAGCGUUGGAAACGACGUCUAAUACCGGAUACGAGGCGUGGGGGCAUCCCCAACGCCUGGAAAGAAUUUCGGUCCAGGAUGAGCUCGCGGCCUAUCAGGUAGUUGGUGAGGUAACGGCUCACCAAGCCGACGACGGGUAGCCGGCCUGAGAGGGUGACCGGCCACACUGGGACUGAGACACGGCCCAGACUCCUACGGGAGGCAGCAGUGGGGAAUAUUGCACAAUGGGCGCAAGCCUGAUGCAGCAACGCCGCGUGAGGGACGACGGCCUUCGGGUUGUAAACCUCUUUUAGCAGGGAAGAAGCGAAAGUGACGGUACCUGCAGAAAAAGCACCGGCUAACUACGUGCCAGCCGCCGCCGUAAGAC